rnacentral:rRNA from 1 species
CGUUUAGGGGUAAACCUGAGAAACCCGAAAGGUCGAAGGGUGAAAUUCAAAUGCUGCUAGCGACCGGAGGCUGGUGGUCGAGCGACGGAAGACGUUCGCGUCAACCGCGCCCUCUGCCAGUCGAGCCGGCUGCGAGCGCGUGCACUUUUCACCUGGUAGGACGCCGCGAUUCGUUGGGUGUCGGUCUACGGUGCGUGGUGGAGCCUGCCUGUCCUCCUCGGAAGACAAGCAGACCCACGCUACCCGGCCGACUUGCUCGACGGUAUCUGAAUGGUUGCUGGCCGCUCCUCAGCGAGCGUUCGACUCGCGGCAAGCACGUCAGACCAGUCGGUGACCGGACCUAGUGCCGAUUCUGACUACUGGCGACUGUUGGCUGCGAUGUUUUCGAACAGACCACGCUCAAAACCGAUCAGCGACGCUAUAGCUUUGGGUACUUUCAGGACCCGUCUUGAAACACGGACCAAGGAGUCUAGCAUGUGCGCGAGUCAUUGGGAUUCACUAAACCUAGAGGCGCAAUGAAAGUAAAGGUUUCUGCUUGCAGAGACCGAGGGAAGAUGGGUGGCCCGCCCUUAAAAGCGGCCACUCAGCACUCCCGGGGCGUCUCAUUCUCAUUGCGAGAGGAGGCGCACCAUGAGCGUACACGCUGGGACCCGAAAGAUGGUGAACUAUGCCUGGU